GACGGAGGGGGCAAGCGUUGUCCGGAAUCACUGGGCGUAAAGCGCACGUAGGCGGGACGGUGCGUCGGUGCUGAAAGCGCCAGGCUUAACCUGGCGAGGCGUGCCGAUACGACCGACCUCGAGGCAGACAGAGGGUGGCGGAAUUCCGGGUUUAGUGGUGAAAUGCGUAGAGAUCCGGAGGAACGCCGGUGGCGAAAGCGGCCACCUGGGUCUGACCUGACGCUGAGGUGCGAAAGCGUGGGGAGCAAACAGG
rnacentral:rRNA from 1 species